AAAGGCUUCUCCCUCUUAUUCCACAUAUGAGAGGCACGUCUUCAUCUGCCAACGCAAGGGGCUUAUCAAACCCUACAACCAAGGUCGGAACGUCAUUUAUGCCGGAAGCACCAUCGUCCCUAGACUCCUCCUUCCGUGAGCACAGGUUCUUUGAAUCCUGCCCUCAUAGGUGCUGCAACGAUGAUGGCUUGUAAACGGGAAGUGGGGAUGUUACAGCGGUGGCGCGUUCAUGACUAUAUGUGUUGAGAAAAUCAAGUCUAAGGAAUAAUUUAUGUUUGAAUCUAAUCUAUUUUCUGUCAUUGCUCUUUCACCCUUCUUUUGUUUUCUCCUUGUUGUUUUACGAUUCAUGUUUGUUGGAAAAUCAUAAAGGUUUUAGAAUGUGAGUAAAUGGGGGUAUAUUAUUCAUUUCUUUGAUAA
rnacentral:lncRNA from 1 species